UGGGGAAUAUUGGACAAUGGGCGCAAGCCUGAUCCAGCAAUGCCGCGUGGGUGAAGAAGGUCUUCGGAUUGUAAAGCCCUUUCGACGGGGACGAUGAUGACGGUACCCGUAGAAGAAGCCCCGGCUAACUUCGUGCCAGCAGCCGCGGUAAUACGAAGGGGGCUAGCGUUGCUCGGAAUGACUGGGCGUAAAGGGCGCGUAGGCGGAUUGUACAGUCAGAUGUGAAAUUCCCGGGCUCAACCUGGGGGCUGCAUUUGAUACGUAUGAUCUAGAGUCCGGAAGAGGGUGGUGGAAUUCCCAGUGUAGAGGUGAAAUUCGUAGAUAUUGGGAAGAACACCGGUGGCGAAGGCGGCCACCUGGUCCGGUACUGACGCUGAGGCGCGAAAGCGUGGGGAGCAAA
rnacentral:rRNA from 1 species